UCUUCCCAGCCUGCUAAAAGCUGAAAAUCACUAACAGCUGGCAAUCACUAAGACACUGACCUGCAGAGGUCAUAGCAGAGAGGCAGGUGGCAGCAGAAGAAAACAACCCAUAAGACCAUGCCAUGGUGCACUGGACACAUCUCUAUAUUAUAUUGCAAAAGAGAUGAUGCAAAUCCUCUGAACUCAGAUGCUGACAUGAAUAACCCUUGUGGAAGAUUAAACCACCUAAUACAGAUCCUAAUGAAACUCACCUAGGGCCUGAAUCAACUCCCACUGACUUCAGUGGAAUGACUGACAAGUAAGUUAAUGGGAGAACAAUCAGUCUCAAGAGCUUGAAGCCAUACAAUGGCUAAAAGGAACUCCAGUCUGUCCUCUUCUGUCUUUUUAUUUCCUUUUUUUUUUUUUUUAAAGAAAAUAUAUUUCUAUCUGCCAUGAGAAUGAGCCAGCCAAGACUUUGUAAGAUGACUUAAGGUGCCAUGUACUCUAAAAUAACCCCAAAUAUGCUAGCUGGAACACAACUCCUUCUCUCUGAUCAACACACACAUCAAGCAAAGAAGUGUAACUAACGUAAGAACAAAAUUAAAAAUUCUCAAACCAAACCAAAAUGAGGGCAUAAAACUUUUGCUGAGAUUUCCCCUUAACUCUGUGCUGUUGUGCACAUUCCUUUUAAAGUGUCAUGUCAUAGGAAUGUAUUUUAUAGGGGUGGGGAGGGGGGAAACAGAUUACUGCCCAAAAGAGUUUAUAUCAAUCCUGCGAGGCGCUGAGCAUCCUCCCUCCCCACUGAAAUCAAUGAGAGUGGAGGAUAAUCAGCAACUUGUAAGAAGUACUCAACACAUCUAAAGAAUUGGGCUACUACUCAGCUGGAGGGAGUGUGUGUGAUCCUCUUGUAAAUAGAGCUGAUCUUUGGGCCCCACAAAGGAGUAUCUCAACUUUAAAAAGUGUAUUUGUAUCCCUUUUCCUUGCUCAAGCCUUAAAUACAAACUCAUGUGAACUGAUCUCUAGAUUGAAAGGAAGAAGCAGCUGGGCACCAUUUCUACAGUAGAUGGAGGAACCUAAACAUCCCUUCCACACACACAAACUUUUAAUGUAAAGUAAUUUGGUUAUACUUCAUCUUGCUAACCCUACCCAGAAUCCUUAAUCUGAUCCUGUGUACAGUGACAGGAGGACAGGGGACAGGAGUUGGUUGUGUUUGGGAGCAAGAUGUGGCAAAACUUUGUUUUGUAGGCCCACUUAAAAAUGCCAAGGCUGUUUCUUCUUGCUAACACUUUCAUUCUUCUCUGCGUUGGCUCACAUAGACAGAUGCUGCACUGCUAUUGCUACAGUGCCUUUUGGCAGGGGAACUGCUAUCCUGCAUAUUUGACCAGUGCUGCAAGCAGACCCUUUACUGCCUGCUACAGCAGCAUGUGAGGAAGAGCAGGGAUCAUGCUGUUACUGCAAUAAGUGGGUGUUCGGCAGAGUCACCUCUCCCCACCAGAGCCUGCCUACCUAGCAUCCAACCAGAGGUUUAAGAGUCCAGUGUUGAGUGGAUAUCUGGAGCCAUGCUUCACCAUGAUUGCUCCCCUACCCCACCAAUACGACUUUGAGGAAAUCUGCUCCACACCCAAUCCCUCCCACCAACCAGGGGCACUUCUACCCAUUCUUCCUGCUGGGGGGACUGCCAGCAGUUAAGGUAGCUCAACAAAUAAAUGGGCCCAUUUCCCGACCCAGCCUCUCAACAACCACCACAGAGGACCCGUUCCCCAUUUAGGCAGAGGGAGAGAGUAGGAAAUUGAUGUAUUGUUAUGGUUUUUUGGUGUUUUUUUUUUUUUUUUUUUUGGGGGGGGGGGGGUGGAAGAUAUUGCUGACCAAAAUUCUCAUUUUUUUUGAGGUAACUCCUUGUUAAAAAUGUGACCGGGUAUCACUGCAUUGAGUUCCAUAUUGAACAGAACACAGCAUAGAAUGACAAUAGAUAAAGCAUAGGAGGCAUGUAUAGGAGGCAGUGUGAAGGUCUGUGUUAUUUACAUCUUGUUUCUCUUUGAUUUCCAAGCAAAAUUACAUAAAAAUAUAUUUAAAAAACUUAAUAGAGAAUAUCAAACAGCAGUCACCAAGCAAAAAGUAGCCCAGUUGAAAAUACAUUCAAUG